UAAGAUUUUAAUUGAAUGCUAAAAGAAUGGAAAUUUAGAAAAAAACUUUUUUGAAAUUAAAAAUUGAAUUUUUUUUAAUUUGUGCAAAAACAAUUAUUUAUAUUAAAGACAAGAAGACCCUAUGAAUUUAAAGAUUAAUUUAAUUAAUAUAAUUAACUGAAUUAAUCUUGAUUGGGGCGAUCAAAAAAUAUUAAUAACUUUUUUAAAUUAAAAUGAUCUAUUAUUAAUAAAAUAAUGAAAUAAAUACUCUAGGGAUAACAGCGUAAUAAUUUUUGAUAGAUCUUAUAGACAAAAUAGUUUGCGACCUCGAUGUUGGAUUAGGAUUCUUUUUUAAUGAAGAUGUUAAAAAAAGAAGUUUGUUCAACUUUUAAAUUCCUACUUGAUCUGA
rnacentral:rRNA from 1 species